AGGCACCGUGAGCAAGGGGUCCACGUCUGGAUUAUCCCUUUAAAAUUGUGGAGAGUCAAAAAAUGGGUCGCAAGAGAAUACUGAGAACGGGCAGCAGCUGAAAUAGCCUGCCCUUCGGUCGGUCCCCGCUCAGUUCUCAAGCUGGUUUUUGCUCAUCUUGUGCCAUUACAGAGAGAACAUAUCUGAAGCAUAUCAGACUGGUCCCACCCAUACGGGCAGUCC